GCUUAUUCCUGUGCUCCAUCACCCUAAAAGUAAAGUUUUUCCUCACAUUCUUAUGUAACUUCCUGUAUCCCAGUUUGUGGCUGUUGCCCCCCAUCUUGCAGCUGAGCACCACUGAAAAGAGGCUGGCCCCAUCCUCUUGAUUCCUGCCCAUUAGAUAUUUAUAAACUGUGAUCACCUCUCAGUCUUCUCUGAACAGCUCUAGGUCUCUCAGCCUUUCCUUGUACUGGAGAAGCUCUAGGCCCAUCACCAUCUUUGUGGCCCUUGCUGAACAAUCUCCAGAAGUUCCCUGUCUUAUUUGAACUGGGGAGCCCAGAAUUGGACUCAACACUCCAGGUGUGGCCUCACCGGGGCAGAGGAGAGGGGAGGAUCACCUUCCUGACCUGCUGGCUGCAUCUUGAGCUGAUGGGAAAUAUGAGACGGAGAUGGUACAAGAGAGACAUGCAAAAAUUCAGGAGCCAUCCCAGGUCAUCUUCUUACUGCUUCCUAAUGUUUACUUGAUGUGAUCGAAAUGAGUAUUGAGAGAAUGGAGAAUUCAGAUUAAAGCAAAAGUUAGAAGGAAAUCAUUCUUUCAUCAAGCACAAUCCACAACAUUUAAGACACUCCUUCAAACUCAGAAUUCAUUAAGUCAAAUUAGAAGCUUCAGUUUUAUUCUGGGAUUUUCAACAAGUUUCUGUCGUACAGGCACUGAGGAACAAGACAAAGGCAGAGGCCUAUUACUGAAUAUGACAGAGAGCUUCUGGUGUUUUCCCCAAAUGCGGACUCAUCUGCAGCUUCAUUCACAUCACUGCUGGAACACAUGGUCCUCAGCGCAGAGUUAGUAAAAAAGAUACCAUGAGAUGAGAGAACAGCUAGUUCGAAGGAGAACCAUGAUGGGACAUCAUUUACACACUUCAAAUUGGAGAAUUGAGCCUUUGAUAAAAGAAAGAAACAAAGUUCACAGGAAAAACUCCAAGAGGAUCAGUCUCCAGAAAGAGAUCCCUCCUCAGUGGCAGUAAGCCCUUAAAUGGGGUCUAGGAGAGGUGCAGCCAGGUUCCACCCCUUCCAGUCACGCAGCUGAAUUGCCUUCACCUGUGCUCCCAUGGCUGACUCAGUGAUCACCUCAGCUGAUGAAUCAGAGGUUCAGGUCAUGAUUCAACAGUUCUGAUACACAUGGAAAACAGUCUUUUAUUAACAAGGGACCCUGUCUGAUUCUGAAGAAGUCAACGGCUAAAACUGCAGCAGGUUACCUUUCUGCUCAUUAAAGAAAAUAGAUGUCAGGAGUGUUCUACUAAACACUAAAAGUACAGGAGCCAAACAGCUAAGAUGAGAUUAUCUUUGUCAAGCUAUGACAGAACUAUCCAAGGUUCAGCACAGGUGGGAGCAGCCUCCCCCCUCCUGGCUGAGGCAGGAGCUGCAAAAGGCUCUAUGAAUGACAUGUGAAAUGGCUGCAAAGAGCAAAGACAACAAGCCACAGCAAAAAAAUGUAACCAGCUGAUUUUUCAACGUUCAUCAAGCCAAACAGCCAAUACUUACCAAGACUCUGCUAGUCAGGUUGGUCUUCAGAAACAUUCAGCAAGCAUUGAUCAGUGUCAAUGGGUGGCAUUUUUUCUUGCAUGGAGGAAUUCAGUGGCACACCCUUGCUUCCGAUGGAUUCCGUCAGUCUGCCCCUCUGCUGCCAUCUGUCACAUGGAAACAACAUGUAAUGGAGUACUGUUAGGAAGGUUCAACCCCUGCUGCCAAACCACCAGCAUCCACCUCUGAUGUCAGGGGCCAACAUAAUAAAACAGGAGGCAUUACUUUCAGAGCAGCAAUUGUAUAAAUCGGACGCUCUUUAACAUUUAUUCAAGUUUAUUAAAAUACUACCAGAAUUUCUUGAAUUUUCUGAGUUGUGGACACCAUGAUAAGUUAAAUGCAGCUCUUCCCACUGCUUCAUAGAGAAACUCAAAUGCUAAUUUCAAGAAGUAAACAUUUUAUCUUUUUAGAUACUGAAAAUCACAGCCCAUCUUAAAAGUUGUUCCAUCUGAGUGAUUUUGAACUUUUUCUCUGGCGCCUCAUCUCACACUGGCUCACAUAAGUCUCACGCUUCCCAUUGUACUGGAAACAAUAAAUUCAAUGUGACGUUGUGAGAAAAUCUGAUAGAAUGAGUAUAGCUUGCCAGCUUGAAAUUCAGAAAUGAAACAAUCAUUUUUCAUCACGGUGCCAUUUGCUUAAGGGAGAUGUUCACACGUAGGAAAACUUUAACUACCAUAAUAUAAUAUAGUAACCUUAAAUAUUCUCUCUCAUGCUUUCUUAGUACUUUUCACUACCAGCAAUAUUUACAUUAGAGAUGCUCUUGAGCUACAAGCAACAGAUUCAGAUUUUACUUUCAUCUGCAAACUCACAAAAAUUCAAACUUAUACCACAGUUCCAAACAGCAUGUGUUGUGGAAAAAUAAAUCCCAUUGAGGAAAGAAAAUGCGGUCAAUCUGUAGUCUUUGAUGGGUACAGUUCUGGACUAACAGAUAGCUUAGUGAACUGUAGAAAUAAUUUAUCAUAUCACUUUCAAAUAAUGUUUCUCAGUUUUAGUGCAUCGUUCCACUUAUAUGAAAACUGUAAGAUGUGAAAUACUCCUUAGUUUUUGGUGCAUGCUGAAUAUUUUGAAGAUUCUAAAAUGUAGGCUCCUAGCACUUGGCAGACCCUUAAGCUGAGAAAAACAUGGAAAUAGCAGACUGGUUAACUCAAGCAGAAAUUGCCCUAACGGGAAGACAUCUGAUUCUUCAAGCUUUUAAAAGCAACUGUCUCAGUGGAUAGCUCCAAGACAGACUCACUGCAAAUGCCACAGGACAGUUCAGAGGAACAGAGUGAUCUGAAAACCACUAAAUGGGAGGGAAAGAUAAAAACAUAUUGUCAGGAAGAUAUAUAUUCAUUACACGAGUUCGGUUGAUGCCAAGAUUUCCUUCAAAAGAAGGCAGAAAUACAAGUAUGCAGUUCACGUGUAAAUGAAGAGAAAACAUUUCAGGUUGAUGAAGAUGACUGGAAGUGAGACUGCCUGAAAUCAGUGAGAGUUAAGGAAAAUAGGGAAAUCCUACUGAAUAUUUUUAUCUGCAGUAAAGAGAUUUGCUGCAAUAACUACGGCGGAAAAGUACAGCUUCUUCUUCUAGUUAGACUAUCAAGAGCACCAGUAAAAGCUUGGGUUUUGUUGUUCACAGGGAUAAGUCUAUUGUGUUCAGGGGAAAGAAAUCUGCAAGGAAACAUCAUCUUCUACCCCACAAACAUGUGGGGUGAAAUAGAGAUGCUGAUAGAGUCCUUCACAUUCAGCUCUACUCCAGAGCAGUAAAAAGCAGCAGGGUGUAUGCUCUUGCAGGUUUUGUUUUUUUAAAAUGCUUUCUCCAGAAAACACCACACACUGCAGCACAGGCAAUGCAUGUGGAGUAUGGCUCUUAAACCUGCACUGGGUGCACACUGGUAUUUACUACUCUCAUGUUACUACUGCAUUUUCAUACGUUCUAUAGAAGCACUCCAACACUGUGCCUCCCUCUGGCCUUUUUGCCUUCUUUAAAAACCACUUGCAGAGGACACCAGUUGCUGCUAAGCAGUGUACUUUUGGAAACUUCCAUUUCAGUUCCAUUUCUGCAGUGACGGCAAAAAGGCACAGUGCUUGCAAUUUUGAUUAUAUUCUACAUAGUUUACUUCAAUGUCUUGUUGCCAUGUAAAAUAGUACUAAAUCAGCUUCAAUUUUCUGCAUAAUUAAAAUAACCAUAAUAGUUCAACAUGGAAGCAUGCCAAGUUCAUUUGUAGGAGACGUUUUCAAAUAUUGCUGAGAAAAAUUACAUUUAAAAAAUUCCCAUGUGAUUGAAAAUGGAAUAAUACUCUGAAAAUGUGCACACAUACAUGUUCAAGUCUUUAAGGAGAUAAAAGAGUCAGUGCUCUCUUGUGUUUACUCUGCCAAUAUUUAAUACAGAUGAUAGCAUCCAUUCCUCUUUCCUUAUUAAAUGCUAUCCUUAAUCUCAAUCUGAAUUAUCAUUGUACACUCCAAAACAGGAUAAAUUCAGGACUCCUGAUAGUGAUGCAUGACUGUGGUGUUUCAUAUCGUGGUGCCUACUAUGACGCUGCUGUAGAAAGAUGUGGUUUUCCAUUUACUGAGCGCUUAAACUUUGUAGAAACUUUGCAGGCAUUUGUCUGCUUAAAUAUGUGCCAAAUAACCACUGUUGUUUUGUUUUUAAGAUGUAACUCUAAAAAAAGUUAACAAGAUAUAUUCCAAAACACCUUGCAUGCUUUGUUUUCCCUUUUAAAUUAUUCUCAAUUGUGUUAUCUCUCCAUCUCAAUAUCACAAUGACAUAAGGAUCUGCUUUGGCUGUCUGUAAUGUGUUUUUUUUUAUUAUUAUUUUAUUUAAUGCAUUUAGAAUGACCUUCUACGUCCAUUAAAUUAUAUAUGAUCUAGUUUCUUGGCAGGGCCAUUUAUGAUCAUUUGUCUUAGAUUUUAUGUAUUGCUUUUCAUUGUUGAUCUCAGAAAUUGUCUUACUUACACUGAAUAAAAAG
rnacentral:lncRNA from 1 species